AUGAACGCUUGCGGCGUGCCUAAUACAUGCAAGUCGAGCGAACAGACGAGGAGCUUGCUCCUCUGACGUUAGCGGCGGACGGGUGAGUAACACGUGGAUAACCUACCUAUAAGACUGGGAUAACUUCGGGAAACCGGAGCUAAUACCGGAUAAUAUAUUGAACCGCAUGGUUCAAUAGUGAAAGACGGUUUUGCUGUCACUUAUAGAUGGAUCCGCGCCGCAUUAGCUAGUUGGUAAGGUAACGGCUUACCAAGGCAGCGAUGCGUAGCCGACCUGAGAGGGUGAUCGGCCACACUGGAACUGAGACACGGUCCAGACUCCUACGGGAGGCAGCAGUAGGGAAUCUUCCGCAAUGGGCGAAAGCCUGACGGAGCAACGCCGCGUGAGUGAUGAAGGUCUUCGGAUCGUAAAACUCUGUUAUUAGGGAAGAACAAAUGUGUAAGUAACUAUGCACGUCUUGACGGUACCUAAUCAGAAAGCCACGGCUAACUACGUG
rnacentral:rRNA from 1 species